UCCCAAACCCAAUGUGAACGUUACCAAACUGUUGCCUCGGCGGGAUCUCUGCCCCGGGUGCGUCGCAGCCCCGGACCAAGGCGCCCGCCGGAGGACCAACCAAAACUCUUUUUGUAUACCCCCUCGCGGGUUUUUUAUAAUCUGAGCCUUCUCGGCGCCUCUCGUAGGCGUUUCGAAAAUGAAUCAAAACUUUCAACAACGGAUCUCUUGGUUCUGGCAUCGAUGAAGAACGCAGCGAAAUGCGAUAAGUAAUGUGAAUUGCAGAAUUCAGUGAAUCAUCGAAUCUUUGAACGCACAUUGCGCCCGCCAGUAUUCUGGCGGGCAUGCCUGUCCGAGCGUCAUUUCAACCCUCGAACCCCUCCGGGGGGUCGGCGUUGGGGAUCGGCCCUGCCUUUGGCGGUGGCCGUCUCCGAAAUACAGUGGCGGUCUCGCCGCAGCCUCUCCUGCGCAGUAGUUUGCACACUCGCAUCGGGAGCGCGGCGCGUCCACAGCCGUUAAACACCCAACUUCUGAAAUGUUGACCUCGGAUCAGGUAGGAAUACCCGCUGAACUUAAGCAUAUCA
rnacentral:rRNA from 1 species